AGCGAACGCUGGCGGCAGGCCUAACACAUGCAAGUCGAACGAACCUUUCGGGGUUUGCUGCGGACGGGUGGUUAAGACGUGGGAACGUGCCUUUAGGUUCGGAAUCACUCAGGGAAACUUGUGCUAAUACCGCAUGUGCUAUUCGGGGAAAAGAUUUAUCGUUGUUUGAGAGGCCCGCGUCUGAUUAGCUAGUUGGUUGAGGUAAUGGCUCACCAAGGCGACGAUCAGUAGCUGGGCUGAGAGGAUGAUCAGCCACAUUGGGACUGAGACACGGCCCAAACUCCUACGGGAGGCAGCAGUGGGGAAUCUUGCGCAAUGGGCGAAAGCCUGACGCAGCCAUGCCGCGUGAAUGAUGAAGGUCAUAGGAUUGUAAAAUUCUUUCGACGGGGACGAUAAUGACGGUACCCGGAGAAGAAGCCCCGGCUAACUUCGUG
rnacentral:rRNA from 1 species